rnacentral:rRNA from 1 species
UAGGGAAUCUUCGGCAAUGGGGGCAACCCUGACCGAGCAACGCCGCGUGAGUGAAGAAGGUUUUCGGAUCGUAAAGCUCUGUUGUAAGAGAAGAACGUGUGUGAGAGUGGAAAGUUCACACAGUGACGGUAACUUACCAGAAAGGGACGGCUAACUACGNGCCNG